GUAAACGCAUAACAAUACGCACAUUAAAAUUCAGUCCAAGAGAUGUCCGAGUCUGAUGUCAGAAGAUGUAACCAAAGAAAAUAAACAAAAUGACAAUAAUACAUAUAUAACAACAGACUACUAGCAGUUAACUGACAUGCCAGCUCCAGACUUCAAUUAAACUGACUGAAAGAUUAUGAUGUCAUCAUAUGAACAUCAGGCACA
rnacentral:lncRNA from 1 species